UCCUAACUCUGAGUAUUUUAUCUUCGUUUUUUUCAUUUGGUCCAAUAAAUUAUUACGGUUUGUUAUGAUUUUUCCUCGUUUAUUUUGAAUGUUUGUAAGCUUACAAAGUAUAUCAACAACUUUUGAGCCAAACAUCUCUAUAGGGCAUUUAUGAGUUUAGGGUUGACAAAGUUUAGAAGACACAAAUUUAUUGGAUUGGGUAAGCGAGUCUCAGUAUAGAGAGGAAAUAACAAAAUGUGUCCAAAUAAGUAACUCCGCCAUUUGAGGUCAGUGGGACAUUAGAAGUUGUUGCUGUGUGAAAAAAAAAUUUCAGGUAUAAAUGAAGGAGAACUAUUUAUAUCCAAGAGACAGUCUCAAGGCUCGACAAAAUGAAUGAAUGCAUCAUUUUAGAUCGAGCACAAAAAGUGCUUUGCUCUCUCCCUCGCUCACACACAUUGAGGAAGAAAUGUUAAGAAAUGAAUAAACUUUAGUUUUGAACCAUUAGCUUCCCGAGGCAAUUGCAUAGAAAGAAAUCAAC
rnacentral:lncRNA from 1 species